rnacentral:rRNA from 1 species
GAUGAACGCUGGCGGCGUGCCUAAUACAUGCAAGUCGAGCGAACGGACGAGAAGCUUGCUUCUCUGAUGUUAGCGGCGGACGGGUGAGUAACACGUGGAUAACCUACCUAUAAGACUGGGAUAACUUCGGGAAACCGGAGCUAAUACCGGAUGAUAUUUUGAACCGCAUGGUUCAAAAGUGAAAGACGGUCUUGCUGUCACUUAUAGAUGGAUCCGCGCUGCAUUAGCUAGUUGGUAAGGUAACGGCUUACCAAGGCAACGAUGCAUAGCCGACCGGAGAGGCUGAUCGGCCACACUGGAACUGAGACACGGUCCAGACUCCUACGGGAGGCAGCAGUAGGGAAUCGUCCGCAAUGGGCGAAAGCCUGACGGAGCAACGCCGCGUGAGUGAUGAAGGUCUUCGGAGCGUAAAACUCUGUUAUUAGGGAAGAACAUAUGUGUAAGUAACUGUGCACAUCUUGACGGUACCUAAUCAGAAAGCCACGGCUAACUACGUG